rnacentral:rRNA from 1 species
UACGGGGGGAGCAAGCGUUGUUCGGAUUUACUGGGCGUAAAGGGCGCGUAGGCGGUCGUGACAAGUCACUUGUGAAAUCUCCGGGCUUAACUCGGAACGGUCAAGUGAUACUGUCGGACUAGAGUACAGAAGGGGCAACUGGAAUUCUCGGUGUAGCGGUGAAAUGCGUAGAUAUCGAGAGGAACACCGGUGGCGAAGGCGGCCAACUGGACGAAUACUGACGCUGAGACACGAAAGCGUGGGGAGCAAACAGG